AUGGGAUGGGGUCGCGUCCUAUCAGCUUGAUGGCGGGGUAACGGCCCACCAUGGCUUCGACGGGUAGCCGGCCUGAGAGGGCGACCGGCCACAUUGGGACUGAGAUACGGCCCAGACUCCUACGGGAGGCAGCAGUGGGGAAUAUUGCACAAUGGGCGCAAGCCUGAUGCAGCGACGCCGCGUGCGGGAUGACGGCCUUCGGGUUGUAAACCGCUUUUGACUGGGAGCAAGCCCUUCGGGGUGAGUGUACCUUUCGAAUAAGCACCGGCUAACUACGUGCCAGCAGCCGCGGUAAUACGUAGGGUGCAAGCGUUAUCCGGAAUUAUUGGGCGUAAAGGGCUCGUAGGCGGUUCGUCGCGUCCGGUGUGAAAGUCCAUCGCUUAACGGUGGAUCCGCGCCGGGUACGGGCGGG
rnacentral:rRNA from 1 species